CGCGCAGGCGGUUAUACAAGCCUGGUGUGAAAGAUCGCAGCUCAACUGCGGGACCGCACUGGGAACUGUAUGACCGGAGUUCAAGAGGGGAAGCUGGAAUUCCUGGUGUAGGGGUGAAAUCUGUAGAUAUCAGGAAGAACAUCAGUGGCGAAGGCGAGCUUCUGGCUAUGAACUGACGCUGAGGCGCGAAAGCGUGGGGAGCAAACAGGAUUAGAUACCCUGGUAGUC
rnacentral:rRNA from 1 species